UUUAUUAAUUGUAAUCUAGUAUGAAGGGUUGGACGAAAUAAUAGCUGUUUCUUUUAAAUUUUAUAGAAUUUUAUUUUUUAGUUAAAAAGCUAAAAUUUUUUUAAGGGACGAGAAGACCCUAUAGAUUUUUAUAUAUUAAUGAUUGUAAAAUAAACAAAAUUUUUAUAUUAUAGUUAAAUAUAUUUUAUUGGGGUGAUAAUAAGAUUUAAUUAACUCUUAAUAAAAAUUACAUUAAUUUAUGAUUUAUUGAUCCAAUAGUAUUGAUUAUUAGUUUAAAUUACCUUAGGGAUAACAGCAUAAUUUUUUUAUAGAGUUCAUAUUAAUAAAAAAGAUUAU
rnacentral:rRNA from 1 species